UACAGAGGUCUCAAGCGUUGUUCGGAUUCAUUGGGCGUAAAGGGUGCGUAGGUGGCGGGGCAAGUCUGGUGUGAAAUCCCGGGGCUCAACCCUGGAACUGCACUGGAUACUGCUUUGCUAGAGUACUGGAGAGGGAACUGGAAUUUACGGUGUAGCAGUGAAAUGCGUAGAUAUCGUAAGGAAGACCAGUGGCGAAAGGCGAGUUCCUGGACAGUUACUGACACUGAGGCACGAAGGCCAGGGGAGCAAACGGG
rnacentral:rRNA from 1 species